UGAUACCUGGGGGAGAGCCCGAAGACUGAGCAUGCAGCUUCUGCUAGGUGCUGUGCAUGCAUUUCACCUCUUUUGCCUUAAUUUGAUGCGUGCAAGGUCACCAACCACCAGAGCAGGCUGCCCAGAGCCACAUCCAGCCUGGGAAGAUGGAUGUGAAGAUGGAGAUGUCCUGGAGGAGGAAAGAGACCUCCAAAGGUCUUGGGAUGAACACCCCGGUGUCUGAUGAGGCAGGAAUCAUUACCCAGGAAGGUUGAGAGUGGGGAGGACGCAGUGACAGCAGCAGAUGGGGUGGCUGUGGCUCAUCAACUGGUGAUGUGAUUUGCUAUGCCUGUGAUGCUGGGUGCUUGUGGUGCUUCUCUAAAGAAGAAAACUCUGGAUGUGUCCAUUAUUUAAAGAAGAAAAAAGUGAGCUAGAGAGGAGGGGAAUGUUUUUUAAUAUGCUUUCACUCUUUUCUUUGAGGCACCCUUUUCUUUAGCAAUGUAAUUAUUCUUAAAAUGCAGCUGACCUUUCACUUCUGCAAACCUUUGCAGUUUUGCCCUGUGAUGUUUUAGUUAACAUUCGACAUAAAGAACUGAACAGUUAGGAGAUUUCUCUUUGAUUAAAUUGCCUUUAGCCACAUGUAGGUUUGUGCAUCUACAUGUGGGGCUGCGCAGGUGCUUUCUGGCUUAAAUCCCUCUCGUAGAGGGGUGAAAAAUCAUUCAAAGUAGCAGUUAU